UACAGAGGUCUCAAGCGUUUGUUCGGAUUCAUUGGGCGUAAAGGGUGCGUAGGCGGCGCGGUAAGUCGGGUGUGAAAUCUCGGAGCUUAACUCCGAAACUGCAUUCGAUACUGCCGUGCUUGAGGACUGGAGAGGAGACUGGAAUUUACGGUGUAGCGGUGAAAUGCGUAGAUAUCGUAAGGAAGACCAGUGGCGAAGGCGGGUCUCUGGACAGUUCCU
rnacentral:rRNA from 1 species